rnacentral:rRNA from 1 species
UACGUAGGGGGCCAGCGUUGCUCGGAAUUACUGGGCGUAAAGGGUGCGUAGGUGGCGAGGUUAGUCAGGUGUGAAAUCUCGGGGCUCAACCCCGAAACUGCACUUGAUACUGCCUUGCUAGAGUACUGGAGAGGAGAUUGGAAUUUACGGUGUAGCGGUGAAAUGCGUAGAUAUCGUAAGGAAGACCAGUGGCGAAGGCGGGUCUCUGGACAGUUCCUGACGCUGAGGAGCGAAAGCGUAGGGAGCGAACAGG